AUUUAUAUAGUUUAAAUAAAACAUUACAUUUUCAUUGUAAAAUCAAAAUUUCGUCAUUUUUAUAAAUU
rnacentral:tRNA from 1 species